rfam:Bacillus sp. FJAT-27986 scaffolf5, whole genome shotgun sequence.
AGGGCGGGAGCGGAAACGACCUGCACCUUGUAUAGUAGUCAUUUUAAAUAGAUUUAUAAUUCUGCCUGUAUCCAAGAAAGGACCGGGACAGAGGG